rfam:Ruminococcus sp. CAG:57 genomic scaffold, scf29
AGAACAGAUAGAGGUGCAGUUGAAAUGAGUAUCAUUUUUCGUGUGACCCCACACAACAGCGUCCCAACGCCUAUGGUAAAUGAGAAAGGUAAAACUGCCGAAGCGGAGUAUCGGGAACACUCCUGCUGACUGUUAGUUUAAUAGACUAUCAGUUGUCAUCAUUACAAAUGGUGGAGUGCUAUCGGCAUA